rnacentral:rRNA from 1 species
CCUACGGGAGGCAGCAGUGAGGAAUAUUGGGCAAUGGACGAAAGUCUGAACCAGCCAUGCCGCGUGCAGGAUGACGGCUCUAUGAGUUGUAAACUGCUUUUGUGUUAGGGUGAACACCACUGCGUGUAGUGGCUUGGACGUAUCAUACGAAUAAGGAUCGGCUAACUCCGUGCCAGCAGCCGCGGUAAUACGGAGGUUCCAAGCGUUAUCCGGAUUUAUUGGGUUUAAAGGGUGCGUAGGCGGGUGGAUAAGUUAGAGGUGAAAUACCGGUGCUCAACACCGGAACUGCCUCUAAUACUGUUGAACUAGAGAGUAGUUGCGGUAGGCGGAAUGUAUGGUGUAGCGGUGAAAUGCUUAGAGAUCAUACAGAACACCGAUGGCGAAGGCAGCUUACCAAACUAUAUCUGACGUUGAGGCACGAAAGCGUGGGUAGCAAACAGGAUUAGAUACCCCUGUAGUC